AGCCGACUCGGUACAAGGCCUUUAGGAAGCUGCUGACAGCCCUGGCACACAGUAGGCACCUCAUACGUGCUUGAGGAUCUGAUUGGUGGAGGCAGGGGUUCACCUCACUGCAGAUGUACAAGCCAAGGCUGACCACAUUUGCUGGGGCCAUUACAGAGGCCGUUCGCGGUCCUGCCUGGGUUGGACUCAUUGGAUGGCCGCUGUGGUCUCUUGAGCCGACUUCCGUUCUUCUAAGGGCUUCCUAGCCGCUAAGUGGCGCCGGGAUUAGAGCUGUGGACACAGAAUCACAUGCUCAACCUAAAAGCAGCUAGAAUAUCAGAACUGGAGGUAGAAGGGAUGCUGGUGGCCCUCCGUGUACCCAGAAAGUGUCCCCUGGAUAGCAUGGCCAACGGCUGUGCCUUCAGCCUUUGCUCAGUGGCCUCCCAAGACAAACCAUUCCACUCUUGGGGAUCUCUGAUUUGGUUCCAGCCUAAAUCUUCGCCUCCAAUUUCUCCCCUUACUUGCAGAUUCAGACCUUUGUGGCCAAAUAAAAUAAAUCUAACCUCUUGUCCAUAAUGAUGCCAGAGACAUUAUUCUGCCUCGAUGUAUAGUCCCCCAAUGCUGGCCAGUUUGCUGUUCUCUGUAUGGAUGUUCCUGAUCCUCCCCCUGUACCCUUGCGGAGGCUGUGCCCUCUAGACAGAAUGCUUUCUGCCCUCGGCUGCCUCUUUGUAACCCCUAACUACUUUCAAGGCUCAUCCAAAGUGUCACCUACAAAGGACUUUACUGAUAUUCCAGUUGAUAAUGCAGUCUGUGAAUUUUAGAUUUACUCCACCCUGCUUUGGCUUUAGAAUUCUAGCAACCAGGAAUGUCUACACCCCUACUUAAGGAUUUACUGUAGGGGAGGAUGGCCUAUGACCGACUUGUGCUAGCAAGUGACAAAUCAGCAACAACUGACUGACCCCCUGGGCUGUCCUAAGCCAAGCUUAAGCUACCAUUGGUACAUGUGAGACACAGGAAGUGAUGUAAAGAACUGCCUAUAUAUUUCACCUCACUUCCUGUGAUCACUCUCUUGGUGGUGUUGGGAGCUCUGGGCGGCAUUUUGGCUCACUUGCAGCAUUUGGCUCUGUAGCAUGGUUUAGGUGAGGUGUCUUCCCUGAGUGACCUUGCUGAGUGAUAAGGCUGAUUCCUUUUUACCUUUACCCCCUGAAGGCACUGUUCUCCAGGGAGGUCCCUCAUCUCAGGGGAGGCCUCAUGGCUGGAAGCUGAGCUAGAUUUAAUUUUCUGAGAAGGUCCCUUGGCUGAGGCCUCUGAACUUCCCUUGGCUUAGACUAGACCUGAAAAAAUCUUAUACCCUUAUCCUCUUCUCCUUCUUCUUAAUUUCUUCCUUCUAUUGUAAUUAAACCACCAUAAAAUCCCAAACUGACUUGAGUAUUUUAUUAGGAUUGAAUUUAAAUCCCUGGGGACCACUAGUAUAAUAUAUUCAGUCAACAACCCUAAUUUUUACCCCCUAACAGUCUGGCGACCACAAAGGGCCUGGCAAGUCCCAGAAAAUGCUUUGUAUUUACUUACCUAUGUAUGUGUUGUAUCCCCAGCACGUGCACACCCACAGGAAUUCUGGCUCCUUGAAGGUGUAAAAUUGAAAAUUUAUUUUUAAAAAUAGUUUGCUAAGACUUAAUCAAGCUAGCAUAGGAGGAGAGAAAAUUGACUGAAGGGUGAACUAGAGUGGAGGGCUGCCUUGGCAAAGUGUCCUGGUGGUGGGAGGUCCAGGGUGCAUGCAGAUGGGGCUUUGCUUAGCAGCUGCGAGGCAGGAUUGAGCUCCCCUGUGACUUCUUUCUCCUCAUCCAGUUGAAGCUUCUCAAUAUUUGGUCCUUCCCCAAGACCACCUUAUGGCAGAUGAGGAGGAAAUGACUUCCAGCUUCCUGAGACCUAGGCUUAAGGGCCGCCUGUUUCCAAACUGGUUUUAAUCUCCAUGUGGGCAAGAGGAGAAGCACCAUGAAUGCCCAAAGGAGAAGUGCCAAGGGCCACUUGUCCAGGAUUGCUGUGUGAUCACCUGUACACAGAGCCACAGAUGGCCAGAGAUUUGAGAUCAGGUUGAGGCUUCUCUAGUCCAGCACAUACUUUUCACUACCACUUGCUGCUGCUGGAGGUGAACAGAGAUCCCCUUCUCCCCACUCUCAAGUUCUUGCAUAACUAUCAGAAUCUCAAGCCACAUGUUUAAAAGAGAGGAGAACCUUCUUGUAGUUUUGUAUCACUGCUAUUUCCAGCAUAGAUGUAAUAUGUUGUGGUGGAGAGAAAUCUGAUCUCAUAGCCAGAAAGACCUGGGUUUGAGUCCUGCCACUGAAUAUGUUCACUCAGAAAUAUGUUCACUCUUAACCUUUCAGGGUUCUAGGGAACUCUCUAGACUAAGCUGUCUCAAAGUAAACUCCCUUUACCCAGCUGCAUUGGUAGAGGGAGUUUCCUCCCUUAGCGUUCUUGAUGCCAAUUAAAUCAGAGAUCAGUCCCUAUCCCUAUUCAGUCAUUUCCAAAGAUAGCCCUCCUCCUCCACUUCCCAUGGAGAUAUUUCUUGUUAUUUAAGAAAAAGUAGAAAAGAUAGGGGGAAAGAGGAAAAUUCCAUUCAAAAUAACUAUAUUUGCAUAUAAUUUCUGGGAGUAAAUCUACCAUGACAGACAUCCAAAGGAAGAUAAUGAGAUACUCUGUCCAGCUCCAAAGAGAGGGCUGAUGGGCUCAUAGUACAGAUUGAAGGACUUUUUCUUUUCUUUUUCUUCUUUCUUUUUUUCUGGAUGAAGCAAAUGUGGGGAUUUGUUUUGCAUGACUUUACUUAUCUGCAAUAGACUUUGUUUUUCUUGACUUCCCAAUGGAUGGAGGGGAGGGAGAGCAUUUGGAACUGAAAAUAAUACUGAAUUUUAAACUAAAAUUUUUAAAAUGAAGCUUCUACUCCCCAAAUGGCUUCUAACUCUUCUUCAUUCCAUUUCCAGCAUUUUAGGAAGUUAUUUUUAAGACUUCAGAAAUAUAUUGGGCACAUUCCUUUUUGCUUCACAACUGGGGGAAAGCAAACCAAGCUUCUGCAAGUGCUCACUCAGACGCAUCAACCUGUAUGUGCUUAGAUUCCGGGUCUUUUUUCAGUGAUUUUCUAUUGUUCUGUCCUGCAGAGUAUAAUUCUUGUUUUCAGUGAGUGUAUUCUUUUCUUUUCCUGUAAAUUUUUUUUUCAAACAGUAAAAACCCACCGUCUCACCCUAACACCCCAGUGCCCCUCCCAAUUGAGAAUGAAGGGAAAACAAAACUUCAUCAUAAGUCAAGCAACAAAUCUCUGCACUGGCUAUAUCAAAAAAAAAUGCCUUCCUAUUCUGCAUUCUGAGGUCCUAAGUUCUUCUCCUCUCCUUCAGGAGGUAGGCAACAUGUUCUAUCAUUAGCCCCCUAAAAUCAGGUGGUUGUUGCUCUGAUCAGAGUUCCCAGACAUGUAGUUGUUCAGUCAUUUCAGUUGUAUCUGGCUCUUUGUGACCCCAUUGGGGGUUUUCUUGGCAAAGAUACUAGAGUGGUUUGCCAUUUCCUUCUCCAGCUCAUUUUAGAUGAGGAAACGGAAGCAAAUAGGGUUAAAUGACUUGCCCAGAGUCACAUAGCUAGUAAAUGUCUGAGGCUGAAUUUUAACUCAGGUCUUUCUGACUCUAGGCCUGACACUCUAUCAACUGCACUGCUGCCUAGCACAUAGUAGGUGCUUAAUAAAUUUUAUUGACUUGGUGACAUAAUUUGGUUUUCCCCAUUGAUUAGCACCCUCUCAGAUUCCCACUCUUUGCCAUCUCAGAAAAGAGUUACAAAUAUUGUUAUACAUCCAUAGAGUUUAUUUUCCUUAGGGCUAAACUCUAUUCUCUUCUCUCAUUCUCUCUUCUUCCCUUUUUUCCUCUCUCUCUCAUUUCCUUAGAUUGAGAUGUAUUUUUGAACCAACGGUGUGCCCAUGUUUCUUCCUUUGAGUAGUUCAAAUAAGAAUGAUGUUCUAGUAUCAAUCCUUCCCUUCACCCUUUCCUCCUGGUUUGAAUAUAUUGUGUACCCUGAUUGUCUAAGGAAAUUUUCCCACGCUUUCCUUUCUUCUAUCAUCAUCAAGACAUGACAGAACCACUCUGUUUUCCUGUUUCAUUAGACUCCCUCUGUGACCCCUCAGUUGAUAGAAUCCAGCGUGGGUACAUGAAUCAUCUCCACAUUUUUGAAAGUAAGCACUUUGUCCUUAUUUAGUCCCUUAUGAAUGUUCGUGUUUACUUGUUUAUGUUUCUCUUAAUUGUAUUUAAACUUUAAAGUUUCUAUUCCGCUCCAGUCUUUUCAUCUUACUUGGAAUUACUUGGAACUCCUUCAUUAAAAAUCCAUUUUUCCCCCUGUAGGAUUAUAUUCAGAUUGUUCUCAGUGAUAAGUUCAUGUCUUCUGGAAGAUCAUAUUCCAAGUUUUCCAUUCCUUUAUAGUGCUGGCUGCUAAGUCACGUGUGAUCCUGACUGACUCCUCUGUACUGGAAUUCUUUCUAGUCAUUUACAAUUGACUUAGAAGCUCUGAAUUUUGGCUAGGAUGUUCCUGGGACUUAGGGUCUUCCUUAAGAGAUGAUCAGUAGAUUCUUCUUAUUUCUCAUUUCCCCUCUAGUUCUAAGAGAGAUCUCUGGUCAGUUUUCUUUUUUCCCUUUUAGACCCUUACCAUUCUUCCAUCUUAGAAUCAAUAGUGUGUAUUGGUUCUAAGGCAGAAGAAUGGUAAGGCCUAGGUCUUGAGGGUUCAGUGAUCUACCCAGGGUCACACAGCUGGGAAGUGUCUGAGGCCAGAUUUGACCCAUCUGUGGGCCUGGCUCUCAAUCCUCUGAGCCACCCUGCUGCCUCUGGGCAGUUUUCUUUUAAGAGUUCUUGAAAUAGGAUGUUUAGCCUCUUUUUACAUUUUUUGGUCAUAGCAUUCAGAUAGUCUAAUGAUUCUUAAGUUUUUUCCACCUCAAUCUGUUUUCUAAGUCACUUGUUUUUUACAGUGAGAUACCUUUCAUUUUCUUCUAUUUUUUCAGACUUUUGGCUGUGUUUUCAUUACUUGUUGUCUCAUGAAGUCAUUGACUUCUAUUGUCCCAUUCUAAUUUUUAGGGAAUUUCUUACUUGAGCAAGGCUUUAUAGCUUUCGGGCCAAGCUAUUAAUUCCCGUUCAAAUUAUUUCCUCCGUGAUGCUCAUUUCUUUUCCAGUUUCUUCCUGGGUCAUUUCACUCAGGACAACAUUUAAAAAUCCAUUUUUACAUACUAACCUGUAAAUAUUUUGGAGUCAUUCUUUUCUGGGCAUAUUUGAGCAUCCUUAUUACCAUCCAAUCUUUUGGAGUGUGAUUCUUUUGUUGUUUGCUCAUUCUUACAACUUACCUCCCAUCAUAUGUGCUGUUAGGACUGGGCUCUGUGCCCUGCUAGAAGGAAAGUCUGGGCUGAGCCUCCUUGAGUAGUCAUGAUAUUGUUCCAGGAUAACAUGGACAGUUCAGGCUGGAAACCUGCAAGGAAACACUGUUCCCAAAGAGGUCUGACCGAGGGCAAAGUCUGCUUGUGUUUCCCCAGUUUGACCUGGUUUGUGUCUGAGCAGCACCGUCCUAGCUGGGAAGCCCUGAUGGUUCAGAGAUAAAGGACUAUAGACUUCCCUUGGUCUGGGAUUGCUGCCUUGUGUAACAGUUAAAAUUUAGGAAUAUUGGGGAGACUGAGGCAGGUAGAAAUUAGUUUCUGCAAGGAGUAUUAUAUUUUUUAGAGGUUUAUUAAAGGUUAAAGAUUAAAGAAUAUACAAGUAAGAAACAUGUGCCUAGGCCAGAGGCCUAGACAAAAUAACACAUCACGGAAGAGACGCCUCUGCUCUAAAACGGAAGUCCAAAAGAAGAGCCUCAAAAGCCUUUGAAUCAACUUAAAUACCUUCUCGAUCUCGGCCCAGGUGAGAUUACAAGGCAUUCUGGGGAAGUGGAGCAAAGGCUCAUGGGGAUUGUAGUCCUGUAUUCGAGUCUAUUUUUUACAUUUGGUCAUUCCUCUACAGGCCGAAGACUAGGCUAGAGGCUGAGACACUCUUCUGAGCCACAUAGAUGCCGCCUGCUUCUGAACCUGCCUCUCUGUGGGUGCCCAGCCAAGCACCUGCUCUGGGGCAGGGGAAGGGGUCUCUUCCUCAGACCACCUGGGAUCUGUGACCAGGAACUGGGUAGUAGUCAGCAAAGCUGCCAGGAGGCCUUCUUUGUCUCUCUAUGCUGGUCUGGCCUAGGAAAAUCUCUCAGGGGCAUCUAGGUGGCUCAGUGGACAGAGAGCCAGGCCUAGAGAUGAGAAGUUCUGGGUUCAAAUAUGGCCUUGGAUACUUCCUAGCUGUGUGAUCCUGGGCAAGUCACUUAACCUCCGUUGCCUAGUCCUUACCACUCUUCUGCCUUGGAACCGAUAUUUAGUAUUGACUCUAAGAUGGGAGAUAAGGGUUUGGUGUUUUUUUUAAUCUCACUGUGCUUUUUUUUUGCCCUUGGACUUCCCCAUCAGAAAUUGGUCUGCUGCAUUUUCUGUAUCUGUUUGGAGGAAUUUUUCAGGGGAGCUCGUUGUACUGCUUCCUACUACUCUGCUCUCUUGGCACUGCCCCCAGUGUAUUAUUUUUAGUGACUCCUGUAAGAUUUAAAAGAGUGGAUGCCAUAAACUGUAAGAGUUAAAAUAGUUGAGGUUAUAAACUGUAGGGAUUAAAAUAGUGGAAGAUAUAAAUUGUAGUAGAUAUAAGAGUGGAUGAGUAAAUUGUGACCACAGAGAAUAUGUUUUCACUACAGUGUCUUGUUUUAAAUCAAAUAUAAGGUGGUCACCAGGGAAAUAUUCCCAAUUAUGAAUAUACCCAAGUCCACUGGGUUUUAUAGAGAAUUUAAUUAAUAAUACAAUGAGGAAUCAAAGAAAGAGAGAGAGAGAGAGAGAGAAAGGAAAUAAAUGAGAAAAGAAUAGGCCGGCCCAGGCAGCCCUGGCCAACCCAGGCCUAAGCCCUACAAGAAAAUAUCAGUCAGUCCUUAAUCACCAUAAGAUCUGUUCAAGCGAGGAUUCAGGGGGACAGAGUCUCCCCAGAGGGAGUUCCAGCCAGAGUCAGCUUCCCUUGAGAGACCUCCUUAGAGAUUGUCCUUCAACAACCUCCUUAGAGACCUUUCUCAGGAGCCUGUCUUCUUCAACAGUCUGUCCUUUUCUUAUAUAGGGGGUUUUCUCCUAUGUCACCUCCCCUAAGUUCUUCCAUCUACCAAUCACAGUAGACGUUUUCCAAAGGACAGCCCAUUCUGAAUUCAUACCUGAGUAGACUAAUCCUUUUAGUAAUCCACACCUGAGUAGGCUAGAAUCUCUGAGUAAGUUUUUUCCUCUUUGCUCUUUGUAAGUUCACAAGUUGCCUGACCUUUAUAGGUACUUAGCACCCCUUUGUAUUAAUUCUAAAAAUAGGCAUGGCUUAAGUAUGGGUGUAAGUAUUUUUCAUUGUUCAGCAAGGAGUUUUCUUCCCUAAAGCAGGCUUAAGUACGGGUGGAGUAGAGGUCUUCCCAUUUCUGAGCUAAAUAGAGUUCUCACUGUCCAAAUGGGGAAUGGUCCCAGUAGGGAAUUGUCCCAAUGGAGAAUUCCCCAAUGGGGAAUUUUUUAACAUUCACAAGUCUGAGAAAUUUCAAGAUUCACACUCCUCUUAGAGUUGUCAGUGCUUGAGCCUAUAAUUCAUUUGUUCCUUGGUAGUAGGUGCUCUGUUACUAUCUCCUCACCUUUAUUGUUUCUAUUCCCAAUAAACAGUGUCUAUUCAACCUAA